GGGAACUCAAAGGAGACUGCCAGUGAUAAACUGGAGGAAGGUGGGGAUGACGUCAAGUCAUCAUGGCCCUUACGAGUAGGGCUACACACGUGCUACAAUGGCAGUGACAAUGGGUUAAUCCCAAAAAAACUGUCUCAGUUCGGAUUGUUCUCUGCAACUCGAGAGCAUGAAGUCGGAAUCGCUAGUAAUCGCGUAACAGCAUGACGCGGUGAAUACGUUCCCGGGCCUUGUACACACCGCCCGUCACACCAUGGGAGUUGGUUCUACCCGACGACGCUGCGCUAACCUUCGGGAGGCAGGCGGCCACGGUAGGAUCAGCGACUGGGGUGAAGUCGUAACAAGGUAACCGUAGGGGAACCUGCGGUUGGAUCACCUCCUU
rnacentral:rRNA from 15 species